rnacentral:rRNA from 1 species
UACGGAGGAGGCAAGCGUUAUCCGGAAUCACUGGGCGUAAAGCGUCUGUAGGUGGUUUAAUAAGUCAACUGUUAAAUCUUGAGGCUCAACCUCAAAAUCGCAGUCGAAACUAUUAGGCUAGAGUAUAGUAGGGGUAAAGGGAAUUUCCAGUGGAGCGGUGAAAUGCGUAGAGAUUGGAAAGAACACCGAUGGCGAAGGCACUUUACUGGGCUAUUACUAACACUCAGAGACGAAAGCUAGGGUAGCAAAUGGG